rnacentral:rRNA from 2 species
GGUUAAGCGACUAAGCGUACACGGUGGAUGCCCUGGCAGUCAGAGGCGAUGAAGGACGUGCUAAUCUGCGAUAAGCGCCGGUAAGGUGAUAUGAACCGUUAUAACCGGCGAUUUCCGAAUGGGGAAACCCAGUGUGACUCGUCACACUAUCAUUAACUGAAUCCAUAGGUUAAUGAGGCGAACCGGGGGAACUGAAACAUCUAAGUACCCCGAGGAAAAGAAAUCAACCGAGAUUCCCCCAGUAGCGGCGAGCGAACGGGGAGGAGCCCAGAGCCUGAAUCAGCAUGUGUGUUAGUGGAAGCGUCUGGAAAGGCGCGCGAUACAGGGUGACAGCCCCGUACACAAAAGCGCAUGUGCUGUGAGCUCGAUGAGUAGGGCGGGACACGUGGUAUCCUGUCUGAAUAUGGGGGGACCAUCCUCCAAGGCUAAAUACUCCUGACUGACCGAUAGUGAACCAGUACCGU